rnacentral:lncRNA from 1 species
CAUGAAAUAUCCUUGUAAACAGUACAUGAAAUAUUGUGACAAAAUGUUACACCCUCCGCUACACAGAAGUGUUUGACUGGGCACAAAAUUUAAGAAGGACCGACUUUUGAAACUUGUGGUCUAAACAAGCAAUAGAUACUUGCAUAGCUAUAAACCAUCUCAUUAAGAGAAGGGGUUUAAAGUUGAAUAGUUUAAACAUAUAGAAAGGAGUCAUUCCUUUUGGACACAGAGAGGGUUAGAAAUCUGAAGAAGUAGACACACGAACUAAUAGAAGGGGGUUUGACAUCUACUAUACAUACAUAUAAAAUUACUUUAACCAGGUGUAAAUAGUAUAAUUUUCUGCUGCAUGGGAUUCCAAACCCCGACCACAAGGUGGCUCCACCCCUAUUUGGACACACUAAAAGGAAAGCAGAUCAUUGUCCCAUAAAUUACAACAGAUGGAGUAUCUAUUAUUGUUUUGGGAAAUGAUAUUUGAUGUUUUACUACAGAUGUUCUUGAUUUUAGAAGUUACUUAUGGGAGAAGAGGUUAGAACACCGGUUCAAAUAACAUUUUAGAC